rnacentral:rRNA from 1 species
CGUGUAGGCGGUUUGGCAAGUCGAGUGUGAAAUCCCACGGCUCAACCGUGGAACUGCGCUCGAAACUGCCUUACUUGAGUGCGGGAGAGGUGUGCGGAAUUCCUGGUGUAGCGGUGGAAUGCGUAGAUAUCAGGAAGAACACCGGUGGCGAGGGCGGCACACUGGCCCAGCACUGACGCUGAGGCGCGAAAGCGUGGGGAGCGAACG